rnacentral:rRNA from 1 species
ACUGGUAGCAAUGGCAUGUUGAAUGCACCAGUACCCAGAGGAACACUGAAGCUAAGCAACACUGUACAUUGUUAAUAUCUGGAUGGGUAUCUAGGCAAUAGUAUGCUAGUGGGU